UACAGAGGGUGCAAGCGUUAAUCGGAAUUACUGGGCGUAAAGCGUGCGUAGACGGUUAUGUAAGUCAGAUGUGAAAGCCCCGGGCUCAACCUGGGAAUUGCAUUUGAGACUGCAUAGCUAGGGUGCGGAAGAGGCAAGUGGAAUUCCUGGUGUAGCGGUGGAAUGCGCAGAUAUCAGGAGGAACACCCAUAGCGAAGGCAGCUUGCUGGGACGUUACUGACGCUAAGGCGCGAAAGCGUGGGGAGCGAACAGG
rnacentral:rRNA from 1 species